rnacentral:rRNA from 1 species
UAGUACGGCGAGUGAGAGGGAAGAGCCCAAGAUUGAAAGCUGGCGUCUUCGGCGUCCGCAUUGUAAUCUCAAGAAGUGUUUUCCGCUUCGGACCAUGCCUAAGUCCCUUGGAAAAGGGCAUCAUAGAGGGUGAUAAUCCCGUACAUGGCAUGGAGCGCCCGAGGCUUUGUGAUACGCUUUCUAAGAGUCGAGUUGUUUGGGAAUGCAGCCCAAAAUGGGUGGUAAAUGCCAUCUAAGGCUAAAUAUUGGGGAGAGACCGAUAGCGAACAAGUACAGUGAUGGAAAGAUGAAAAGAACUUUGAAAAGAGAGUUAAACAGUACGUGAAAUUGCCAAAAGGGAAGGGUAGGAGGUCAGAGAUGCGUCUUGGGAUUCAGCCUUGCUUUUGCAUGGUGUUUUUCCCAAGUUGCAGGCCAACGUCGGUUUUGGGCACUGGAGAAGGGUAGGAGGAACGUGGCACCUCUCGGGGUGUGUUAUAGCCUCCUACUGGAUACAGCGACCGAGACCGAGGAACGCAGCGUACUCGUAAGAGCGGGCCUUUUGGCACCUUUACGCUUAGGGCGUUGGCAUAAUGGCCCUCUACCACCCGUCUU